CACCUCCACCUGCUUGUAACAGUGAUGCCUCCCUUCCAGAUGCACUGAACUCCUUCUACGUGUUAGAUGGAGCAGCGGGAGGACGCGGAAUGUCUGGACUCUUAUUUUAAAAGGGUGGACUUUUAUUGGGGGAGACAGAAAUCGGUGACAGCACCCGGGCAGGAAGCGGAGCUCGUGAAGGCAGCGCGAGUCGGGAGUGCGCAGGCCCAGAAGCAGCAGCGGCAACGGUGAACUCGGCGUGCCGCGUGGUGAGGACGCCGUGGGAGAACGAGCCGGAGUACGGACUAAAGUGGGCACCUGCAGCGGACCUGGGGGCUGCUGGAGACGGAGCAUACGACGGCGGCCAUUGUGAGCGCGUCGGGUCGAGCCAUACACUGAGGGCGAGCUGCUGAAAGUUCUGGGUACAGUUGAGACUGUGCCCAGAGCGGUGUGAGUACAAACAGCAUUGUUAAAUUCAGUGUAUGUGGCUGCAGAGCUGCUUUUAUGAGGAGUAUUACUCGGUGACUGGUAUAAGUUCAGCUUAGUUUUAUUAAUCCUUGCUAUGCUAUGAUUGAAGCUGAUUAGCCCAAAGGGAACUGGUUACUGUUCAGCCUUUUCUGUGUCCUGUUAGAGCCGUGCGUGGACGCCUGUGGACUGAAGAGUGGGUUCCGCCUGCCUGGGAGUUGGUCAACUUAGAGACUGGGACAUUUAUAAUUGUUUUGAGUAUUUUGUUUAUUGUUUUCUUUUUUUGUUUGAACUGUUGUUCCAGCCUAAGGUCUUAAGCUAAGGCUAUAUCUAUUUUAUUCUACAACAUGCAUGAUUUUAGCUGGGUUUAUAUUUAAGGGGAACAAUUAUAAUAAAGUUUGUUUUUCUUA